UACGUAGGGGGCAAGCGUUUGUCCGGAUUUAUUGGGCGUAAAGCGCGCGUAGGCGGCCCGGUAAGUCCGCUCUGAAAGUCCAGGGCUCAACCUCGAGACGCCGAUGGAAACCAUCUAACUAGAGUCCGGAAGAGGAGAAUGGAAUUCCUGGUGUAGCGGUGAAAUGCGCAGAUAUCAGGAAGAACACCCGUGGCUAAGGCGGUUCUCUAGUACGGUACUGACGCUGAGACGCGAAAGCGUGGGGAGCGAACAGG
rnacentral:rRNA from 1 species